GGGCGUUUGGUCUAGGGGUAUGAUGUUCGCUUCGCAUGCGAAAGGUCGCCGGUUCGAAUCCGGCAUCGUCCA